UGGCUCAGGAUGAACGCUGGCGGCGUGCCUAACACAUGCAAGUCGAACGGGGAUUUUGUUUCGGCAGAAUCCUAGUGGCGAACGGGUGAGUAACGCGUAGGCAACCUGCCCUCCGGCCGGGGACAACACUCCGAAAGGGGUGCUAAUACCGGAUACGAAGUCUGUGCCGCAUGGUACGGAUUUGAAAGAUGGCCUCUAUUUAUAAGCUAUCGCCGGGGGAUGGGCCUGCGUCCGAUUAGCUGGUUGGUGGGGUAACGGCCUACCAAGGCGACGAUCGGUAGCCGGUCUGAGAGGAUGAACGGCCACAUUGGGACUGAGACACGGCCCAGACUCCUACGGGAGGCAGCAGUGGGGAAUA
rnacentral:rRNA from 1 species